rnacentral:lncRNA from 1 species
UCAGAGAGCUGGGGCGCACAGGGGCGCGCAGGACGCGGAGGCGGACCAGCCGAUCCCCAGUGCGGUCGCCCGGGCAGGUGCCACGGCUGCUGCCCGGAGGCGGCAUGUGACGCGCGGCCACAGCUGCCCGCGGGCGGAGCGCGCUCGGACCCGGGAGCGCAACCGCGGGCCAAGUCGGCUGCCGCCGAGAGCCCCGCGCUCUCCACCCGCCCGGAGGAACCGCAGCUGCGCUUGCACCCAGAAACCGGGCAAUGCAGAGAAGGGCGGCUCCGGUUCACGAGCAACGCUGAGGACAGUCGCUGUCUCGGAAAGCCGUGCCGCGAGACGCAGAGGUUCGGUGGGGCGGACCGGACGGUCCGAGAGACUCGGGGAGGCGCGGAGGACCCGCGUGGGACAGCCACCUGGAACGCGACUGCCAGAUAUGGCUGCUAAUGGCAUCUACUUCAGUUCUGGACUGUGGAUUGAGUGAACCGUAUCCUUUCCCAUCAUGAUACACAACGUAAAGGCUCUCCACUUUGCUGCAUUCUGACUAGUGGCCAAGCACGUGACAUUCCGAACUUCAGCAAAGGUACAGUAAGGUAAGUGUUUUUCUAGUUGACUCCUUGCUUGAAAGGGGAAUUGAUGGCUUGAUCUAUAAGAACUGACCAGUGAUAAAUAUAAAUUAUGACUUGGUUUCUGCUGCAUGUAUCACCUCUUCCCCUUCAAGAUAAUGGAUUUCACCAUGGCAUCUUUGGACAUACAUGUCAUUACAAUUUGUCCACAUUUAUUCCCAGACUGUGUGCAUCUCCAUAUGACUAUACAGACAUGCUCAAUUGUGUCUUAGUAGAUAUAACACUGUGUCGUUUACUCAUCUGAUUCAAAUUUAA